rnacentral:rRNA from 1 species
AUUGAACGCUGGCGGCAUGCCUUACACAUGCAAGUCGAACGGUAACAGGGAGCUUGCUCCGCUGACGAGUGGCGAACGGGUGAGUAAUGUAUCGGAACGUACCUUUCAGUGGGGGAUAACGUAGCGAAAGUUACGCUAAUACCGCAUAUUCUGUGAGCAGGAAAGCAGGGGAUCGCAAGACCUUGCGCUGAUUGAGCGGCCGAUAUCAGAUUAGCUAGUUGGUGAGGUAAAGGCUCACCAAGGCGACGAUCUGUAGCGGGUCUGAGAGGAUGAUCCGCCACACUGGAACUGAGACACGGUCCAGACUCCUACGGGAGGCAGCAGUGGGGAAUUUUGGACAAUGGGGGCAACCCUGAUCCAGCCAUGCCGCGUGAGUGAAGAAGGCCUUCGGGUUGUAAAGCUCUUUCGGCCGGGAAGAAAUCGCAUGGGUUAAUACCCUGUGCGGAUGACGGUACCGGCAUAAGAAGCACCGGCUAACUACGUGCCAGCAGCCGCGGUAAUACGUAGGGUGCGAGCGUUAAUCGGAAUUACUGGGCGUAAAGCGUGCGCAGGCGGUUUUGUAAGUCAGGCGUGAAAUCCCCGGGCUCAACCUGGGAACUGCGCUUGUGACUGCAAGGCUAGAGUAUGGCAGAGGGGGGUGGAAUUCCACGUGUAGCAGUGAAAUGCGUAGAGAUGUGGAGGAACACCAAUGGCGAAGGCAGCCCCCUGGGCCAAUACUGACGCUCAUGCACG